rnacentral:rRNA from 1 species
UACGAAGGGGGCUAGCGUUGUUCGGAAUUACUGGGCGUAAAGAGUGUGUAGGCGGUGUUCUAAGUCUGGUGUGAAAUCUCCCGGCUCAACUGGGAGGGUGCGCUAGAAACUGGAAUGCUAGAGGAUGGGAGAGGUAAGCGGAAUUCCUGGUGUAGCGGUGAAAUGCGUAGAGAUGUGGAGGAACACCGAUGGCGAAGGCAGCCCCCUGGGUCAACACUGACGCUCAUGCACGAAAGCGUGGGGAGCAAACAGG